rnacentral:lncRNA from 1 species
ACCUCCAACAUGGCUUUUAUGGUUUUUACCUAUCAUUGAAAUUUGAAUCUCUUCUCUAUCAGAUUUUUAAUGGUCUUCAAAUUGGCCAAGUUGAAUGAUAUCAAAGUUCAAGAUUAGGCCAAUGAAUGUGGUGUAGAUAUAUCUCAUCACCCUUUUGACCAUCAAUUGAUGGGAUGUGGAGACAUUAUUUAUAUCAUAUGUAGACCAAUUGCAAUCAAAAGGCCAAUACAUCAAAAGAGGUAU